GAUGAACGCUGGCGGCGUGCUUAACACAUGCAAGUCGAACGAAGCACUUUAUUUGAUUUCCUUCGGGACUGAUUAUUUUGUGACUGAGUGGCGGACGGGUGAGUAACGCGUGGGUAACCUGCCUUGUACAGGGGGAUAACAGUUGGAAACGGCUGCUAAUACCGCAUAAGCGCACAGCAUCGCAUGAUGCAGUGUGAAAAACUCCGGUGGUAUAAGAUGGACCCGCGUUGGAUUAGCUAGUUGGUGAGGUAACGGCCCACCAAGGCGACGAUCCAUAGCCGACCUGAGAGGGUGACCGGCCACAUUGGGACUGAGACACGGCCCAAACUCCUACGGGAGGCAGCAGUGGGGAAUAUUGCACAAUGGGCGAAAGCCUGAUGCAGCGACGCCGCGUGAGCGAAGAAGUAUUUCGGUAUGUAAAGCUCUAUCAGCAGGGAAGAUAAUGACGGUACCUGACUAAGAAGCACCGGCUAAAUACGUGCCAGCAGCCGCGGUAAUACGUAUGGUGCAAGCGUUAUCCGGAUUUACUGGGUGUAAAGGGAGCGCAGGCGGUGCGGCAAGUCUGAUGUGAAAGCCCGGGGCUCAACCCCGGUACUGCAUUGGAAACUGUCGUACUAGAGUGUCGGAGGGGUAAGCGGAAUUCCUAGUGUAGCGGUGAAAUGCGUAGAUAUUAGGAGGAACACCAGUGGCGAAGGCGGCUUACUGGACGAUAACUGACGCUGAGGCUCGAAAGCGUGGGGAGCAAACAAG
rnacentral:rRNA from 1 species